AGAGUUUGAUCAUGGCUCAGGAUGAACGCUGGCGGCGUGCCUAAUACAUGCAAGUCGAACGGACGACUUCGGUCGUUAGUGGCGAACGGGUGAGUAACGCGUUGGUGACCUGCCCCGGAGUGUGGGAUAACAGGCCGAAAGGCUUGCUAACACCGCAUGAUGUCGUGGAGUUUAGAAAUCCACGAAGAAAGAGGAAACUCGCUCUGGGAGGGGCCUGCGACCCAUCAGCUAGUUGGUAAGGUAACGGCCUACCAAGGCGAUGACGGGUAGGGGACCUGAGAGGGUGGCCCCCCACAAUGGAACUGAAACACGGUCCAUACACCUACGGGUGGCAGCAGUAGGGGAUAUUGCUUAAUGGGCGCAAGCCUGAAGCAGCAACGCCGCGUGUGCGAUGAAGGCCUUCGGGUUGUAAAGCACUUUUAGCAGGGAAGAGGAAGGACGGUACCUGCUGAAUAAGCCUCGGCUAACUACGUGCCAGCAGCCGCGGUAAAACGUAGGAGGCGAGCGUUAUCCGGAUUUACUGGGUGUAAAGCGCGUGCAGGCGGUUUGUUAAGUUGGAUGUGAAAGCUCCCGGCUCAACUGGGAGAGGUCGUUCAAGACUGGCAAACUGGAGAGCAGUAGGGGAAGGUGGAAUUCCGGGUGUAGUGGUGAAAUGCGUAGAUAUCCGGAGGAACACCAGUGGCGAAGCGGCCUUCUGGACUGCAUCUGACGCUCAGACGCGAAAGCUAGGGGAGCAAACGGGAUUAGAGACCCCGGUAGUCCUAGCCGUAAACGAUGUGAACUUGGUCGCCGGUGGGUAAAACCGAUCGGUGCCGGAGCAAACGCGAUA
rnacentral:rRNA from 1 species